rnacentral:rRNA from 1 species
CCCAGACUCCUACGGGAGGCAGCAGUGAGGAAUAUUGGUCAAUGGGCGCGAGCCUGAACCAGCCAAGUCGCGUGAGGGAAGACGGUCCUAUGGAUUGUAAACCUCUUUUGUCGGGGAGCAAAAGACGCCACGUGUGGCGUUCCGAGAGUACCCGAAGAAAAAGCAUCGGCUAACUCCGUGCCAGCAGCCGCGGUAAUACGGAGGAUGCGAGCGUUAUCCGGAUUUAUUGGGUUUAAAGGGUGCGUAGGCGGGACGGUAAGUCAGCGGUAAAAAUGCGGAGCUCAACUCCGUCGAGCCGUUGAAACUGCCGUUCUUGAGUGAGCGAGAAGUAUGCGGAAUGCGUGGUGUAGCGGUGAAAUGCAUAGAUAUCACGCAGAACUCCGAUUGCGAAGGCAGCAUGCCGGCUCCACACUGACGCUGAGGCACGAAAGCGUGGGUAUCGAACAGGAUUAGAUACCCCCGUAU